UCUGGUUGAUCCUGCCAGUAGUCAUAUGCUUGUCUCAAAGACUAAGCCAUGCAUGUCUAAGUAUAAGUGUUAUACAGCGAAACUGCGAAUGGCUCAUUAAAACAGUUAUAGUUUAUUUGAUAAUCGAAUUUACAUGGAUAACCGUGGUAAUUCUAGAGCUAAUACAUGCUGGUAUGCCCGACUUUUGCGGAAGGGCGGUAUUUAUUAGAUAACAAGCCAAUAUUCCUCUGGUCUAUUGUGGUGACUCAUAAUAACUGAUCGAAUCGCAAGGCCUUUGGCCGCGAUAAAUCAUUCAAGUUUCUGCCCCAUCAGCUUUCGAUGGUAGUGUAUUGGACUACCAUGGCGGUGACGGGUAACGGAGAAUUAGGGUUCGAUUCCGGAGAGGGAGCCUGAGAAAUGGCUACCACAUCCAAGGAAGGCAGCAGGCGCGUAAAUUGCCCGAAUCCUGACACAGGGAGGUAGUGACAAGAAAUAACAAUACAGGGCUAUUUUAGUCUUGUAAUUGGAAUGAGUACAAUUUACAUCUCUUCACGAGGAUCAAUUGGAGGGCAAGUCUGGUGCCAGCAGCCGCGGUAAUUCCAGCUCCAAUAGCGUAUAUUAAAGUUGUUGCAGUUAAAACGCUCGUAGUCGGAUUUCGGGGCGGGCCGACCGGUCUGCCGAUGGGUAUGCACUGGCCGGCGCGUCCUUCCACCCGGAGACCGCGCCUACUCUUAACUGAGCGGGCGCGGGAGACGGGUCUUUUACUUUGAAAAAAUCAGAGUGUUUCAAGCAGGCAGUCGCUCUUGCAUGGAUUAGCAUGGGAUAAUGAAAUAGGACUUUGGUGCUAUUUUGUUGGUUUCGAACACCGAAGUAAUGAUUAACAGGGACAGUCAGGGGCACUCGUAUUCCGCCGAGAGAGGUGAAAUUCUCAGACCAGCGGAAGACGAACCACUGCGAAAGCAUUUGCCAGGGAUGUUUUCACUGAUCAAGAACGAAAGUUAGGGGAUCGAAGACGAUCAGAUACCGUCGUAGUCUUAACCAUAAACCAUGCCGACUAGGGAUUGGAGGAUGUUCCAUUUGUGACUCCUUCAGCACCUUUCGGGAAACUAAAGUCUUUGGGUUCCGGGGGGAGUAUGGUCGCAAGGCUGAAACUUAAAGGAAUU
rnacentral:rRNA from 1 species